CUGUGAGCAGAAUAUUUUCUGUCUCAUGGAUGGGACUUUGGAGGGAGGAUCUGGAACAGAGUUUGAAACUUGUUUGUAUGAUCGGUCUCUGGAUUUAAUGCUCCAGUGGUUACCUGCCCGACAGUGCUGGGGAGCCAAUUAAAGAACUAGAUGUGGGACAAUUGCUGGUAUUGUCAGGAGUUCCCUGGCAUCAGACUGGCCCCCUGCUGAGUCAGCAGGCCCUGCAACAGCUAGAAAGCAGCUCCCGGCCAUAGCUGAGAAAGCCAAGAGGACCCUCAUCAGUCUGAUCUCAAUUGGAGGCUGCCAUCCAUCCAAUUCUGAGGGAACCCACUCACUGUCCUUCAUUUAAAGAGGAAGGAUAUAAACUGUUAACCAAGUCGAUACCUUACAGUGUGCCAGAUAACAAUUAUGAGAGUAUAGGAGGCAAAAGCAAAAAGCAUAGAGACUUGGCAAUGAUAAAGCUAUAGAAUCCACAAACGCGGUUCUUCCUUGAAGCUUUUCCCUGGCUAGUGGUGCUCUGUAACUACAAAGCUGCAACAUUCAUUUUUUCAGGUACUAUUACUGUUCAAUACAGCAAGCAAAAGGGAU